rnacentral:ribozyme from 2 species
CCUCUAAUGCAGCCGAAGCUAGUCGCAAGCCUGGAAAAAUGCAGAGCGGAGG